rnacentral:lncRNA from 1 species
CUCACACAAUACGGAAUUUCUUCUUUCCCAGAUCACGCUGCCUGUGCAGUGUUAUUCUCACAACAGAGGCCAAUCUUGGGAAGGGCAAGUUAUUGGUUCCUCCAGGUGCAGAAACAUGGGCCAGUGGCUGAGGCCCGGCUCCACGAGGAAAUGUUGGGAGAAGGCAACACACAUGGAGGAGAAGCAAGGAGGCAGCCAUGGGUGUCCAUGCUGAAGGAAGACGCAAGUUCUUAGAGGCAAGCUUCAAGUUCAACGACGAAACAACUCGAAGGAGAUGUUACCAGAUGGAAGGUCUUGACUCUCUUUUGAGAUCUACAAGGACAGUGAACAGACAUCAUGGAGGGAAUGCUGGAGUCGGUUACCCACGUAUCUGUUAUGCCAGAGGAAUGGGGUCCACAGUGGUCAGUGUGAGGCUCAGCCAGUGUGAGGGGAGGAACCAAGUUUGCACAGAGAAAGACGCAAGAGCGCCGUGCUGAGCUCCCGCUCCCUAUUCCAGCCUCACAGAGACCCAGUCACACCUCGCUCUUCCCCUCAUGUGGACUUCCCUGACCUACACCAGUGCCAGCCGCAUUUCUGCCACUUUAAGCUGAAGCCGAGCCCGGACUGACACAGUUUUCUCAUUUCCCCGAGAGCAGCACCACUCCUGAUUAUCCCCUCCCAAGCCCCAGGAAACUCGCAACAAAAGCAGUCUUAGAUUAAAUUCAGUGAGUUUCUGCAUCACAACAGGAAACUGUGUCGAGCACAAAGGUGUCCUGCGAACAGGCUCAAUCACAAGCUCCGCCAAGACGGGAGGUGACAGAGGCCCCAGAAAGCCCGUUCCCGACAACGCCAAUACUGCACGUUUAUCAGCUGCGGCGAGAGUUGGCUGGAGGCGGUGGCGGUACCUCAAUGCUCCUGCCUCGUCUUCGAGAUUCUUCUGUUUGAUGAUGCCUCCUCACUGUUUCUAUAGUGUGGCUAUG